UACGUAGGGUGCGAGCGUUGCCCGGAUUUAUUGGGCGUAAAGGGCGCGCAGGCGGCUACGCACGUCCGUUGUGAAACCGCUCGGCUCAACUGGGCGGGGUCAGCGGAUACGGCGUGGCUGGAGCAAGCUAGGGGGCAAUGGAAUUCCCGGUGUAGUGGUGGAAUGCGUAGAUAUCGGGAGGAACACCAGUGGCGAAGGCGGUUGCCUGGAGCUUUGCUGACGCUGAGGCGCGAAAAGCGUGGGGGAGCGAUCCGG
rnacentral:rRNA from 1 species